GAUGAAAACACAGAAGACGAAAGUGCAGCCAGCUAAGGCGGUGUUCACGUUAAAGAGAUGGUUUGAAUGGAAAUUCAAACACAAGCAAAGAACCAGACAUGGAUGAAGGGGGGUGAAGAGACUAAUCAAAAGGAAGUUUGUGUGUGAGGGAAGCAUAAAAAAGAAUACAACAGUUCAAAGAAGAAACGGUUGUCGGUUAAGGAGGUUAGGAAAAUGAAUGCAACAAAGGGCAGUUGCAGAAAACAACACACAAAAUCGUCGAUGAAACUAAUAGGUAUGUAUCCCAUGAUAUGCAUUUUGUGUAAAAAGACUUGUAUGUAAAUAUUUGUCGCAUCAAUAUCCAAAAAAUGGCGAAAACAAUAAAAGUUGUGACUAACUAAUGUGUAUAGAUUUAUAUGUUACAUUAACCAGUGUUACAUCUCUGAGUUGUGUACCAUUUUAACAUUAUAAAAUUUGCGCGCAUAAAAAAUGUUAAAUAUAUAUGCUACAUUAAGAGUGUACAUGUACACAUAUUUAUAUA
rnacentral:lncRNA from 1 species